rnacentral:rRNA from 1 species
GACGAACGCUGGCGGCGUGCUUAACACAUGCAAGUCGAACGGAAAGGCCCUGCUUUUGUGGGGUGCUCGAGUGGCGAACGGGUGAGUAACACGUGAGUAACCUGCCCUUGACUUUGGGAUAACUUCAGGAAACUGGGGCUAAUACUGGAUAGGAGCUCCUGCUGCAUGGUGGGGGUUGGAAAGUUUCGGCGGUUGGGGAUGGACUCGCGGCUUAUCGGCUUGUUGGUGGGGUAGUGGCUUACCAAGGCUUUGACGGGUAGCCGGCCUGAGAGGGUGACCGGCCACAUUGGGACUGAGAUACGGCCCAGACUCCUACGGGAGGCAGCAGUGGGGAAUAUUGCACAAUGGGCGGAAGCCUGAUGCAGCAACGCCGCGUGCGGGAUGACGGCCUUCGGGUUGUAAACCGCUUUCGCCUGUGACGAAGCGUGAGUGACGGUAAUGGGUAAAGAAGCACCGGCUAACUACGUGCCAGCAGCCGCGGUGAUACGUAGGGUGCGAGCGUUGUCCGGAUUUAUUGGGCGUAAAGGGCUCGUAGGUGGUUGAUCGCGUCGGAAGUGUAAUCUUGGGGCUUAACCCUGAGCGUGCUUUCGAUACGGGUUGACUUGAGGAAGGUAGGGGAGAAUGGAAUUCCUGGUGGAGCGGUGGAAUGCGCAGAUAUCAGGAGGAACACCAGUGGCGAAGGCGGUUCUCUGGGCCUUUCCUGACGCUGAGGAGCGAAAGCGUGGGGAGCGAACAGGCUUAGAUACCCUGGUAGUCCACGCUGUAAACGGUGGGUACUAGGUGUGGGGUCCAUUCCACGGGUUCCGUGCCGUAGCUAACGCUUUAAGUACCCCGCCUGGGGAGUACGGCCGCAAGGCUAAAACUCAAAGGAAUUGACGGGGCCCCGCACAAGCGGCGGAGCAUGCGGAUUAAUUCGAUGCAACGCGUAGAACCUUACCUGGGUUUGACAUGGAUCGGGAGUGCUCAGAGAUGGGUGUGCCUCUUUUGGGGUCGGUUCACAGGUGGUGCAUGGCUGUCGUCAGCUCGUGUCGUGAGAUGUUGGGUUAAGUCCCGCAACGAGCGCAACCCUUGUUCACUGUUGCCAGCACGUUAUGGUGGGGACUCAGUGGAGACCGCCGGGGUCAACUCGGAGGAAGGUGGGGAUGACGUCAAGUCAUCAUGCCCCUUAUGUCCAGGGCUUCACGCAUGCUACAAUGGCUGGUACAGAGAGUGGCGAGCCUGUGAGGGUGAGCGAAUCUCGGAAAGCCGGUCUCAGUUCGGAUUGGGGUCUGCAACUCGACCUCAUGAAGUCGGAGUCGCUAGUAAUCGCAGAUCAGCAACGCUGCGGUGAAUACGUUCCCGGG